UACGUAGGGAGCAAGCGUUGUCCGGAAUCAUUGGGCGUAAAGAGCGUGUAGGCGGCUCGGUAAGUCCGCUGUGAAAGUCCAGGGCUCAACCCUGGAAUGCCAGUGGAAACUGUCGAGCUAGAGUCCGGAAGAGGCGAGUGGAAUUCCUGGUGUAGCGGUGAAAUGCGCAGAUAUCAGGAGGAACACCAAUGGCGAAGGCAGCUCGCUGGGACGGUACUGACGCUGAGACGCGAAAGCGUGGGGAGCAAACAGG
rnacentral:rRNA from 1 species